AUCGAGCGGGGCGGAGCGCGGGAUCGCCGCCCGGAGCGCCCGAAGGCCGCGUCCCGCCGCUGAGGGGACCGCGGGAGAAGGUAAAUGUAUCAAUAUCGGUACCUCGCUGGGGUCGGCAGAAGAGACAGCUGUCAAGAGGAUGGUGCCAGGCUCAGAAUUCCAAGUGAUGUCCAGUGACAGGAUGAGGAGCAAUGGCCAUAAACAAAACCACAUCACAAGGAGUUUCACCUCAGCAUGAGGAAGAACUUCCUUACACAGAAGAGCACUGGAACAGGCUGCCAGGAAGGUUUUUUUCCUCUUUUUUUUCUUUCCAGCUGGAUGGAACAACAAAUUGACAGCAAUGAGGAAAAAAGUGUUUCUGGAAAACAAAACUCCAAACUGAACUUUUGGGCCCCAGCCUUUUUACCUCUGAAGCAGGCCUCUGAUCUUGUCACCUACUCCAACGACCAUAACCUCCUUCCCUGCAUUUGAGAG